rnacentral:tRNA from 1 species
GCGGGGGUAGUUCAGCGAUAGAACGUCCGGCUCUCCACCGGUUCGACGCUGGUUUGAAUCCAGCCCCCUGCC